GGGGCAUUAACUCAGUUGGUAGAGUGCUAGCUUUGCAAGCUGGAAGUCAUGGGUUCGAGUCCCAUAUGCUCCACAA
rnacentral:tRNA from 1 species